rnacentral:piRNA from 1 species
UGGAUUCAUUGUUGAAAUUUAUGAGUGUA